rnacentral:tRNA from 1 species
GCCUCGGUAGCUCAGUUGGUAGAGCGCUCGGCUGUUAACCGAGUGGUCGCAGGUUCAAGUCCUGCCCGAGGCG